GUAGGUGGCAAGCGUUGUCCGGAAUUAUUGGGCGUAAAGCGCGCGCAGGCGGUUCUUUAAGUCUGAUGUGAAAGCCCACGGCUCAACCGUGGAGGGUCAUUGGAAACUGGGGAACUUGAGUACAGAAGAGGAAAGCGGAAUUCCACGUGUAGCGGUGAAAUGCGUAGAGAUGUGGAGGAACACCAGUGGCGAAGGCGGCUUGCUGGUCUGUAACUGACGCUGAGGCGCGAAAGCGUGGGGAGCAAACAGGAUUAGAUACCCUGGUAGUCCACGCCGUAAACGAUGAGUGCUAAGUGUUAGGGGGUUUCCGCCCCCCUUAGUGCUGCAGCUAACGCAUUAAGCACUCCGCCUGGGAGUACGGCCGCAAGGCUG
rnacentral:rRNA from 1 species